GGUGAACGCUAGCGGCAGGCCUAACACAUGCAAGUCGAGGGGUAGCAGGAUUAAGCUUGCUUAAUUGCUGACGACCGGCGCACGGGUGCGUAACGCGUAUGCAACCUACCUUAUACUGGGGUAUAGCCCGGAGAAAUUCGGAUUAAUCCCCCAUAGUACUAAUGAAUCGCAUGGUUUAUUAGUUAAAGCAUUGCGGUAUAAGAUGGGCAUGCGUGCUAUUAGCUAGAUGGUGAGGUAACGGCUCACCAUGGCUACGAUAGGUGGGGGGCUUGGAAGAGCGAUCCCCCACACUGGUACUGAGACACGGACAAGACUCCUACGGGAGGCAGCAGUGAGGAAUAUUGGUCAAUGGGCGCAAGCCUGAACCAACCAUGGCGCGUGCAGGAAGAAUGCCCUAUGGGUUGUAAACUGCUUUUAUUUGGGAAUAAACCUCUUUACGUGUAGAGAGCUGAAGGUACCAAAUGAAUAAGCACCGGCUAACUCCGUGCCAGCCGCCGCCGUAA
rnacentral:rRNA from 1 species